rnacentral:rRNA from 1 species
GGAGUUAGCCGGUGCUUCUUCUGUGAGUGAUGUCCUUCCUGCCGGCUAUUAACCCGCAGGCCUUCUUCCUCACUGAAAGUGCUUUACAACCCGAAGGCCUUCUUCACACACGCGGCAUGGCUGGAUCAGGGUUGCCCCCAUUGUCCAAUAUUCCCCACUGCUGCCUCCCGUAGGAGUCUGGGCCGUGUCUCAGUCCCAGUGUGGCUGAUCAUCCUCUCAGACCAGCUACGGAUCGUCGCCUUGGUGAGCCGUUACCUCACCAACCAGCUAAUCCGACAUAGGCUCAUCCGAUAGCGCGAGGCCCGAAGGUCCCCCGNUUUCCCCCGUAGGGCGUAUGCGGUAUUAGCCUGGGUUUCCCCAGGGUUAUCCCCCACUACCGGGCAGAUUCCUAUGCAUUACUCACCCGUCCGCCGCUCGCCACCAGGGAGCAAGCUCCCCGUGCUGCCGCUCGACUUGCAUGUGUUAGGCCUGCCGCCAGCGUUCAAUCUGAGCCAGGAUCAAACUCUGA